rnacentral:lncRNA from 1 species
GGGCCGUGCCUGGCACGGCCCGUCUGGAGAGGGGGGGAGAAAAAUAGCCGUUUCCAACGGCUAUUUUGGAAAAUUUUCAAUUUUGCCCCUCCCAACAGUCCAAAAACGGCUAAAUUGAGGGGUAUUUUGGGAAAAAAAUUUUUUGGGCUUCUAUAAAUAGCCCUUUCCUCCCUCAUUCUCACCACACCAAACCAACUAUUCUCUCCUUCUCUACUGCUAUUAUUUCUCUCUUCUAAAGUGCUCUUCUAGCAAUUUAAUUUUUAGUUUGCAUUUAGCAAGUGUUCAAGUGCUACACAAGAGGAGGUUCCUGUUGAGAAGAGAAGCUCACUCCUGUUGAGAGCACAAGAGGAAGCUCAGAAUCUCGGCUCUGCCUCUGCCCUCCGACCCUCUACUCAAUUUCUCCUUGUGGUUAGUUUUUAUUUUUUGAAUUCAUCAAUUUAGAUAUGUCAUCUUUUGAGGAAAGUCAGUUUGGCAUUCCUCCUGUUU